rnacentral:rRNA from 1 species
CUGGUUGAUCCUGCCAGCGGCCACCGCUAUUGGGUUUCGCUUAAGCCAUGCGAGUCGAGAGGGUUCGGCCCUCGGCAGACUGCUCAGUAACACGUGGAGAACUUGCCCUAGGCUGGAGGAUAACGUCGGGAAACUGACGAUAAUACUCCAUAGCCCAUCCUUCCUGGAACGGUGGGUGGGUGAAAGCUCCGGCGGCCUAGGAUAGCUCUGCGGCCUAUCAGGUUGUAGCGAGGGUAACGUCCUCGCUAGCCUACGACGGGUAUGGGUGUUGGGAGACAUCGCCCAGAGAUGGAUUCUGAGACACGAAUCCAGGCCCUACAGGGCGCAGCAGGGGCGAAAACUGCACAAUGUGGGAAACCACGAUGCGGGAAACCCAAGCGCCAGCGCUAUGCGUUGGCUGUCCUCCAGUGUUCGUAACUGGGGAAGAAAGUGCUGGGUAAGACGGGUGCCAGCCGCCGCGGUAUUACCCGCAGCACAAGUGGUGGUCAUUAUUAUUGGGCCUAAAGCGUCCGUAGCUGGCCUGUUAGAUGCCUGGGUAAAUCGAUGCGCUCAACGCAUCGAAUUCCGGGUAGACCGGCAGGCUUGGGACCGGGAGAGAUGUGAGCUACUCGAGGGGUAGGGGUAAAAUCCUGUAAUCCUUCGGGGAGGACCAGUGGCGAAGGCGUCACAUUAGAACGGCUCCGACAGUGAGGGACGAAGCCCUGGGGCGCAAACCGGAUUAGAUACCCGGGUAGUCCAGGGUGUAAACGCUGCAGACUUGGUGUCGGUGAUCCUACGAGGGUUGCCGGUGCCGUAGAGAAGUUGUUUAGUCUGCCGCCUGGGGAGUAC